UACGUAGGGGGCGAGCGUUGUCCGGAUUUAUUGGGCGUAAAGAGCUCGUAGGCGGCUUGGCAAGUCGGGUGUGAAACCUCCAGGCUCAACCUGGAGACGCCACUCGAUACUGCCAUGGCUAGAGUCCGGUAGGGGACCACGGAAUUCCUGGUGUAGCGGUGAAAUGCGCAGAUAUCAGGAGGAACACCGGUGGCGAAGGCGGUGGUCUGGGCCGAUACUGACGCUGAGGAGCGAAAGCGUGGGGAGCGAACAGG
rnacentral:rRNA from 1 species